ACUUGGGUUGGUUUUUAAUUUUGCUAUGGAUUGUGUGUUCAUGUGAUCACGAGGUUCGCAUCACCUACAAGUCGUGAACUUCUUUUCCUGUAGAAGAAGUAAUGAUGGUAUCUGGUUAAUAAGCAUCGACUAACUUUGUGCUAGCAACUACAAAAAUAUAGAAGAUGCAAAUGACAUCUAAAAUGAUUGAGCAUAAAGUGUUUAUAGAUGGUUUUUUAAGUUUGCUAUAAAAUCCUAGGGCUCAACCUUAGAUCGGCUGUGGAAAUUGCCAAGCUAGAGUAUGGUAGAGACAGAGGAAAUUUCCAAUGGAGCGGUGAAAUGCAUAGGGUUUGUUUGGAUCAAUCCCAGUCAAUCCAAUAUUUUACUAUCUUAAUAUUUUUAAAAAAACUAUCAUCUAAUAUAUCACUAUAAUAUAUCACUAUUUUA
rfam:Populus trichocarpa scaffold_13_contig_49, whole genome shotgun sequence.